rnacentral:rRNA from 1 species
AUGAACGCUGGCGGCGUGCUUAACCCAUGCAAGUCGAACGGAACUACUCCAAUGAGAGUCUUCGGAAAGGAUUUGGUUUAGUUUAGUGGCGGACGGGUGAGUAACGCGUGGGUAACCUGCCCUAUACAGGGGGAUAACAGUUGGAAACGACUGUUAAUACCGCAUAAGCGCACAGGAGCGCAUGCUCCGGUGUGAAAAACUCCGGUGGUAUAGGAUGGACCCGCGUCUGAUUAGCUGGUUGGCGGGGUAACGGCCCACCAAGGCGACGAUCAGUAGCCGGCCUGAGAGGGUGAACGGCCACAUUGGGACUGAGACACGGCCCAAACUCCUACGGGAGGCAGCAGUGGGGAAUAUUGCACAAUGGGGGAAACCCUGAUGCAGCGACGCCGCGUGAGCGAAGAAGUAUCUCGGUAUGUAAAGCUCUAUCAGCAGGGAAGAAAAUGACGGUACCUGACUAAGAAGCCCCGGCUAACUACGUG